rnacentral:rRNA from 1 species
UACGUAGGGGGCGAGCGUUGUCCGGAUUCAUUGGGCGUAAAGCGCUUUAAGGCGGUUCGCUAAGUCGGGUGUGAAACCUCCAGGCUCAACCUGGAGACGCCACUCGAUACUGGCGUGACUAGAGUCCGGUAGGGGACCACGGAAUUCCUGGUGUAGCGGUGAAAUGCGCAGAUAUCAGGAGGAACACCAGUGGCGAAGGCGGUGGUCUGGGCCGGAACUGACGCUGUAGAGCGAAGCGUGGGGAGCGAACAGG